ensembl:lncRNA
CUUGGGUGUUCAUGGGCAUCUCAUUUUUUGUUGUUGUUGCUUUGUUUUAGUUUGAGAUGUUUCCAUCUAUGAUUAGUUGAAGAUAUUUAAGUUGGGAAUCUUCACUCUCUUCUAUACCUGUUAUCCUUAAGGUUGGUCUUCUCACUGUGUCCCUGAUUUCCUGGAUGGUUUGGGUUAGGACCUUUUUUCACUUUGCAUGUUCGUUGAUUGUUGUGUCUAUGUUUUCUAUGGUAUCUUCUGCUCCUGAGAUUUUCUCUUGUAUCUCUUGUAUUCUAUUGGCGAUGCUUGCAUCUAUGAUUCCUGAUCUCUUUCCUAGGUUAUCUAUCUUGAGGGCUCUUGCCUUUUGAUAUUUCUUUAUUGUUUCUGUUUCUGUUUUUAUAUCUAGGCUGUUUUUGUUCAAUUCCUUUACCUGUUUGGUUGUAUUUUCCUGUAUUUCUUCCGGGGAGUUAUGGCCUUCUCAAAGGACUCUAUCAUUAUCAUGGGAUAUCAUUUUACUUUUGAAUCUUGCUUUAUAGGUGUGAUGGCAAGUCCAGGACUUAUUGUAGGGGGAGAACUGGUUUCUGAUGAUAACUAGCCUUGGUUUCUAUGGCUUAUUUAUCUUCUGCUUGCCAUUUGGCAUCUGCUUUCCUCUAGUGCCUGCCCGACCUGUCUCUGACUGGAGCCUGUCCUUCUUGUGAUCUUGGUUGUGUCAGAACUCUCAGAGUCCAGGUGUCUUUCUGAUCCUAGGAUCCUAUAUUUCAAAGCUUCUGGUGGUCAAGUUGCCUCUGAGAUACUGAAGUCCUAGUGACGAAGCUCCUGAGGACCUGUUUUGUCACAGCUCCUGUGAUUCAAAAUUUGUCUGCAUGUUGAACAAGUGGAUUGGAGGGAAUUGAGAAGCCUGAGAUUCCUUGGAGCAUAGGUAAAAUCUGGGACAAACCUGGGCCUCUGCGUGGGUGGGGUUUGUGUUUUGCUGGUUUCUAUGUGGGUCCCAGUUAUACUGUGUGUUGGGAAGGAAGUUGUUUCGUCAACUGUGACCUUGAGUGUGUCAGUUCUCCAGGGCUCCUGCCUGUGUCAAUCUCCUGGAUGUUGAGCUUCCUCUGUGAUCCUGUGUUCCUGAGAUCCUGGACAUGUUCUAGAACCUGGGUGAUGGGCUUCAUUUCGGUGAUGUGGGAAUGGAUAUGGGACCAGUGUCCAAUGACUGCUCAGGGCACAAGUUCAGACCAUAAGGGACCUCCAACAGAUGGCUGGGCAAAGGUUCCUGCAUCCCUGGUUCCCAGGAGAGCCAGUCACUCCCAGUGUCGUAACAGAUGUUGUGUCCUCCUCACCUGGGACCCUAGGCGUGUUACAGCACCUGGCUGAUAGUCUGGGUGCUGUGUAUAUUCUUUAUUGUACACUAAAAACCAAUAGAUGAAGAAAGUACAAAAGAAGGAGAGAUGAGAUCUGGUGAAACAGUGGGGGAUGACAAUGGAUUGUUUCAUUCAGGGCUUGCAGGAGGGAUUCAGAAUCAAAAAGACCAUUAUGGAAGGAGAGAGGAGAUCGAACUAUGCUAGAAAAUGAAUGCAGAUAGGACCUUGGGUCUUGAUAGAUCCAGAAGCACCAUAAGCUACGAAUUCAGGUUUCCAAAUUCUUCUACCAGGACUUCUUCUACCAGGAAACAAUCUACAAGUGACAGACAUUGUCUACACCAGGUUGGCACUGGUGCAGCACCAUAUUACCUGAAUGUCCACAUGUCAGCAAGGUUUUCCUGUUUUGCUGGGCAGGCCUCUGUGACAUGGCCCUCAGUAACCACCUAUGGUACAGACUGCACGUUCUACUAUGGCUCUGGCUCUAGUCACAUUGGAAGGAAGACUGUGGACAGUUACUGACCUAUUGAACAGGCUGUAAUAAGUACUGAUAUGGGCUCAGCCUACAUCAAUGUGAGUAAGGACUCCUGGGAUAGGUAUUCCCUAUGUCUGUCCUGGGAAUGUAGGGAGAGCUUUUCCUACCUUUGUAGGAAGGACGAAAUGUUUGUGGUUGCUGUAUCUGCACAUUGUGUGUACAGUGACUCAAUCAUCAAGGUGAGAAAAUGAAGGGAACACAUUGGGACCUAGACCUGGGUGGGGUCUUCACAUGGUUGGCGUGUCCUAAAAAAAAUGUAGUGUUUUGUUGUCUUUGCAGUGACAGAAAAUUAUUACUGACUGUAGAGUGAUGUAUUGUGUGACAAAGACACCUCAAAGUGACUGUGCCUUCCCACCUGCCCUGUCUUCUCCAUGAACUGCACUGAGGCAGAAACAUGCUGCUCCAUCAAUGUAAGACAGAAACCACUGUGGUGAAAGGCAGGAGUGUUUACAAGGAAGCAGCUCCUAUCUGGGAAGGAGCCAUGAGUGCAGGAGGAAGAACUCCGAAAAGAAAACCCUUUCUUUGCAGGGACAAAACCCAGUUUAUUACCAGGAAGCAUGGGGGACACAAUGGAUGGGCAGAUGGGACAUCUUGAACAAUGAUGGCCAGAGCCUCCUGCUCCUUGCCUGGUGAGAUCUACCUGGUGUGAGAGGCUUGGUGGGCAGCAACUGAAGUCCUUAAGCAGUCAUUUCCCCCGUGCUUGAUUGGAAAAUUCUCCAUGGGACUCAGAGAACGGCAACAGCCCGUUCCUUUCUUUGUAGUUUGAUGUGGUAAAAGGGGUUCAUGGACAAUUUCUAGCUGGUGUUUGUUUCUGUUUUCUCUGUAUCCAAAGGAAUGGAUGUGCCCAGCAGACCAUUCCAACAUUUGUUGUGAUUUUAUUUGGGUCACAGAAUCUCUGGUCAGCAAGACCUGACUCCUGCUUGUCUCCACUUCCCCUGUACUCAGAAGGAAAAUCACUUCCCUUGGGGAUGGGGAGCUGAUCAAAGCUGAUAUCUGUCUCACCUUGGUUCAGAUCACACACUCUCUGGGCUUCAAUCCCUGACUGUAGUUGGUCUUCAAUCACCGUAUAUGUGAAGGGAUAAUUAUUGAUCUCAGGGCUGACAUGGCCACAGCUCAAUCUGUUUACUGUUCUGCUAUGGAUUGUUUCAUGCAGACCCAUAGAAGAGUGGGAUGAUCGGUACUCUUCAGUGUUUUCAGGAUCUGAGCCAGAGCAUUCACAAGUGAUUGUAUUUCAGCUACUGUAUUAUAGAGGACCUUGUUUCUUGUUACCACCUCCUGUACUUGCUCAGUACCUGGUGUGGAGAGAACAUUCUCUAAGGAAUCCCCUUGCCCUAAGUAUUUUGUGCUGGAGCCUCCAUAUUUUGAAGCAUUCUUUGUGAUUUUAUUCCAAGAGCUCUUCGAAGUAACUUCCCCUUUCCCUGGUAUCCAAGUCUUGGUUGUGUCCCUGAUCUGGGUGCAGCUUGGGAUGCAAGGACUUACUCUUCGAAGCCUUUCUCCCUGGCUUAUAGCUCUAUAUCUUAUAGUAAUUUGCUUCCCUUCAUGGGGAUGGGACCCCUUGAAAUCUUUCACUUCGUGUUUUUCCUUUGGGACACAUAUCUCUCCAGUUUCUACGCUCUCAUGUCUCCUCCUGGAGUCAUCACCUAAACCCAGGGUAUUUACGGGGUUUUGGCAUGUAUUCUGGAAGGUAUGCAUCCAGUGUUUUGAAGGCAAGCUGACCUUGGCAGGGUGUACUUUACUGGGGACACCUGGAUCAUUUCUCACAGGCCAGGGCGGUGCCUGCUCCUUUGAUUUCAGGUCUAUCAUACUGUGUGUUUGUAUAUUUUGGAUGGAGUGAACUGAGGGCUGUAGGGUAGGUGUUUGCAGAUGACCAGGAUGUUUGUUGGGCUGUAAAGACCCAUAGUCCCUGGGACUGAUACCGAUAGCUUGGCCAUUGUGACUCUCACUGGAUCCCAGACUCACUGUCCAUGCAGAUGGCUCUUCUUUCACCUCCACUAUGUUGGUUUGGCUGAUGAGGGUGGGACAGUUUCAUCCUGACCAAGCACUAUUAAAGGACAGCAGUGAUGAGCUGAGUCCACAUCCUGAAAUCUUCCUUUGUGGAUGCUUGUCAAUUUUUGUAUUGGUAUUUAUUUGGAGACUGCCUGUUUCACUUCAUUCCAGUCGUGCUCUGCUGGGGUUUUGCGUGGAGGCAAAAGUCAGGUUGCUGAAUACUCAGGUAUGUCUGAAAGGGAUCUGGUCAGACUUGUGAGGGCCCAUGACUGGCAUCAGGUUGAGGGGCUCUUUGGUUCUCCUGCACCUCUGCAGCUGAGUGCUUCCACAGAGCACUCUCUAGCCUGGCAGUUGAGGCAUUUUCUACCCUUGCCCCUCCUGGGUCCUGGUGAUGCAAAUUUUCCAGGAUCAUGGCAGCCUUUGAAUAGUACUCCUCCUUGGAAUCACAAAUGGAGGAGUAGGGAAACACAACCUGGGGAAGGUUUGAGGCUGGAACUCCAGGUGUGGCGAGAUCGCUUGCCUCAAGGAAAUGCAGAUAUGGUUUCCUUCUGGGUUUGACUGGAAGUUCUGUACAAUUUGACUGUGGCUUCCUUUCGUUUUUUGAAUCAAGGCAGGUAUGAUCAUUAGCAGCCUUUACAAAAAGCUGCUUGUCUGUCCUUAGUGUGGCGUUCCUGAAUUUCAGCCCCUUCUCAAGGUUGCUGAUGGAAGGGCAAGGCAGGUGUUUGCCCCCUAAACCAGUGCCCUUCUUGAUGGUGGUAUAUUUUUCAUUCUUUUCUGUGACCUCCUGUAAGGGUACCUCCAUGGGCACAGUCCCCUUCAUUUUGUUCCACAUGUAGCUUUUGUGGUUGAGGAUGGAGUGCUGGGCAGGUUGGGAGAGUUGAGCCCUGCUCUUGCAAUAAUUAUCAGUUUUUGCUACAAAAUUUCCCUGUAGCUGGGUCCACUUUCAGGAUGAGAGGAAUGUGAUGGG